rnacentral:rRNA from 1 species
GACGAACGCUGGCGGCGUGCCUAAUACAUGCAAGCCGAGCGGACAGAAGGGAGCUUGCUCCCGGAAGUUAGCGGCGGACGGGUGAGUAACACGUGGGCAACCUACCCUGUAGAUCGGGAUAACAUCGAGAAAUCAGUGCUAAUACCGGAUAAUCAUUUGAAGUGCAUGCUUCGAAUGUAAAAGAUGGCUCCGGCUAUCACUACGGGAUGGGCCCGCGGCGCAUUAGCUAGUUGGUAAGGUAAUGGCUUACCAAGGCAACGAUGCGUAGCCGUCCUAGGAGGGUGAUCGGCCACACUGGGACUGAGACACGGCCCAGACUCCUACUGGAGGCAGCAGUAGGGAGUCUUCCGCAAGGGACGAAAGUCUGACGGAGCAACGCCGCGUGAGUGAUGAAGGUUUUCGGAUCGUAAAGCUCUGUUGUUAGGGAAGAACAAGUGCCGUUUGAAUAAGGCGGCACCUUGACGGUACCUAACCAGAAAGCCACGGCUAACUACGUGCCAGCCGCCGCGGUAAUAC